UACGUAGGGGGCGAAGCGUUGUCCGGAUUUAUUGGGCGUAAAGCGCGUGUAGGCGGCUUGGCAAGUCCGCUGUGAAAACUACGAGGCUCAACCUCGAGACGUCGGUGGAAACUGCCUGGCUAGAGUCCGGAAGAGGAGUGUGGAAUUCCUGGUGUAGCGGUGAAAUGCGCAGAUAUCAGGAAGAACACCUAUGGCGAAGGCAGCACUCUGGGACGGUACUGACGCUGAGACGCGAAAGCGUGGGGAGCGAACAGGAUUAGAUACCCCCAGUAGU
rnacentral:rRNA from 1 species